AUUUUAGCUUCAUCCAACUUAAAUUAUGGUUCAUUAAAAAAAAUAUCUGUCAGGAUUGUAAGGGUGUUCAAACACAUUUGAUAGAGUGAUAAAUAACUUGAUUUGGUUGCACCUGAACAUGGUCCAGACUGGUUCACACAGGGUUUGCCUCAAGUUGCCAUUUAGGAAAGUCCAUGUUUCUUUGUAUUUCCACAUUGUCUUCAUAUUUCAAUUGUGGAGAUUGUUGCUCAGUGACGGUAACACAUUUAUCUAAAGCUGCCAGUGAGAGAGAAGGAUGAGCGUUUUUUCUUUGACAAAGAAUGUUUGAUAUUCUUGUCCACACUCCUUACCAGUUGGUGGCGGUAGUGUACCAUUAUGUUGUCUGUUAACUGCCAAUAAGAGUCCAACAAGAAAAGGAGAAAGACAAGUUUCUGUGCCGUAUGACGUCGUUGUCGUAUGCUGAGGACUUGACCUACAAGUUGGCUGAAGGAAAUUGCUUCCAGCUUGUGGACCAGACAUUGUGGGCGACCUGCUGAAUUGACUACAGAUGCCAUUGUGACUGUCAUACCAGUCUUGAGGUGGUGUGAUUCCCCACACAC